UACGGGGGGGGCAAGCGUUGGUCGGAAUUACUGGGCGUAAAGGGCUCGUAGGCGGCCAACUAAGUCAGACGUGAAAUCCCUCGGCUUAACCGGGGAACUGCGUCUGAUACUGGAUGGCUUGAGUUUGGGAGAGGGAUGCGGAAUUCCAGGUGUAGCGGUGAAAUGCGUAGAUAUCUGGAGGAACACCGGUGGCGAAGGCGGCAUCCUGGACCAACACUGACGCUGAGUGAGCGAAAGCCAGGGGAGCAAACGGG
rnacentral:rRNA from 1 species